rnacentral:rRNA from 1 species
UACAUGGGGUGCAAACGUUGCUCGGAAUUAUUGGGCGUAAAGCGCGCGUAGGCGGUUACUUAAGUCGGAUGUGAAAGCCCUCGGCUUAACUGAGGAAGUGCACCCGAAACUGAGUAGACUAGAGUACGAAAGAGGGUCGCGGAAUUCCCGGUGUAGAGGUGAAAUUCGUAGAUAUCGGGAAGGAACACCGGUGGCGAAGGCGGCGACCUGGGUCGAGACUGACGCUGAGGCGCGAAAGCUGGGGAGCAAACAGG